GACAGAGGGUGCAAACGUUGUUCGGAAUUACUGGGCGUAAAGGGCGCGUAGGCGGCACAGCAAGUCGGGAGUGAAAGCCCGGGGCUCAACCCCGGAAUGGCUUUCGAAACUGCUGAGCUAGAGUACAGAAGGGGCAACCGGAAUUCCCAGUGUAGCGGUGAAAUGCGUAGAUAUUGGGAAGAACACCUGAGGCGAAGGCGGGUUGCUGGGCUGAUACUGACGCUGAGGCGCGAAAGCCAGGGGAGCAAACGGG
rnacentral:rRNA from 1 species